AUGAAGCGGAGACAUUGAAGUGACUUAGUGGCGGACGGGUGAGUAACGCGUGGGUAACCGUGCCCUGUACUGGGGGACAACAGUGGAAACGGCUGCUAAUACCGCAUAAGCGCACAGCAUCGCAUGGUGCAGUGUGAAAAAACUCCGGUGGUACAGGAUGGACCCGCGUCUGAUUAGCUAGUUGGUGGGGUAACGGCCUACCAAGGCGACGAUCAGUAGCCGGCCUGAGAGGGUGAACGGCCACAUUGGGACUGAGACACGGCCCAGACUCCUACGGGAGGCAGCAGUGGGGAAUAUUGCACAAUGGGGGAAACCCUGAUGCAGGCCGACGCCGCGUGAGUGAUGAAGUAUUUCGGUAUGUUAAAGCUCUAUCAGGCAGGAAAGUAAAAUGACGGUACCUGACUAGGAAGCCCCGGCUAACUACGUGCCAGCAGCCGC
rnacentral:rRNA from 1 species